rnacentral:rRNA from 1 species
CGUGCCUAACACAUGCAAGUCGAACGAAGCAAUUAAGAUGAAGUUUUCGGAUGGAAUCUUGAUUGACUGAGUGGCGGACGGGUGAGUAACGCGUGGAUAACCUGCCUCACACUGGGGGAUAACAGUUAGAAAUGACUGCUAAUACCGCAUAAGCGCACAGUGCCGCAUGGCAGUGUGUGAAAAACUCCGGUGGUGUGAGAUGGAUCCGCGUCUGAUUAGCCAGUUGGCGGGGUAACGGCCCACCAAAGCGACGAUCAGUAGCCGACCUGAGAGGGUGACCGGCCACAUUGGGACUGAGACACGGCCCAAACUCCUACGGGAGGCAGCAGUGGGGAAUAUUGCACAAUGGGCGAAAGCCUGAUGCAGCGACGCCGCGUGAGUGAAGAAGUAUUUCGGUAUGUAAAGCUCUAUCAGCAGGGAAGAAAAUGACGGUACCUGACUAAGAAGCCCCGGGUAACUACGUGCCAGCAGCCGCGGUAAUACGUAGGGGGCAAGCGUUAUCCGGAUUUACUGGGUGUAAAGGGAGCGUAGACGGCGAAGCAAGUCUGAAGUGAAAACCCAGGGCUCAACCCUGGGACUGCUUUGGAAACUGUUUUGCUAGAGUGUCGGAGAGGUAAGUGGAAUUCCUAGUGUAGCGGUGAAAUGCGUAGAUAUUAGGAGGACACCAGUGGCGAAGGCGGCU